rnacentral:rRNA from 1 species
GGCGAUGUUUGAUCCUGGCUCAGGACGAACGCUGGCGGCGUGCUUUACACAUGCAAGUCGAACGGUGAACCGGUGCUUGCACCGGGGAUCAGUGGCGAACGGGUGAGUAACACGUGAGCAAUCUGCCCCUAACUCUGGGAUAACUGCGGGAAACCGCAGCUAAUACCGGAUACGACCCAGGGAGGCAUCUUCACUGGGUGGAAAGUUUUUCGGUUAGGGAUGAGCUCGCGGCCUAUCAGCUUGUUGGUGGGGUAAUGGCCUACCAAGGCGACGACGGGUAGCCGGCCUGAGAGGGCGACCGGCCACACUGGGACUGAGACACGGCCCAGACUCCUACGGGAGGCAGCAGUGGGGAAUAUUGCACAAUGGGCGAAAGCCUGAUGCAGCGACGCCGCGUGAGGGACGAAGGCCUUCGGGUUGUAAACCUCUUUCAGCAGGGACGAAGCGAAAGUGACGGUACCUGCAGAAGAAGCGCCGGCUAACUACGUGCCAGCAGCCGCGGUAAUA